UACAGAGGGGGCGAGCGUUGUUCGGAAUUACUGGGCGUAAAGGGCGCGUAGGCGGCCCGCUAAGUCGAACGUGAAAUCCCCAGGCUCAACCUGGGAACUGCGUCCGAUACUGGCAGGCUUGAAUCCGGGAGAGGGAUGUGGAAUUCCAGGUGUAGCGGUGAAAUGCGUAGAUAUCUGGAGGAACACCGGUGGCGAAGGCGGCAUCCUGGACCGGUAUUGACGCUGAGGCGCGAAGGCCAGGGGAGCAAACGGG
rnacentral:rRNA from 1 species